rnacentral:rRNA from 1 species
UACGUAGGGGGCAAGCGUUAUCCGGAAUUACUGGGCGUAAAGCGCACGCAGGCGGUUUGCCAAGUCUGGAGUGACAGUUGUCGGCUCAACCGAUAAAGGACUUCAAAAACUGGUGAACUUGAGGACGAGAGAGGAACAUGGAACUCCAGGUGUAGUAGUGAAAUGCGUAGAUAUCUGGAAGAACACCAAUGGCGAAGGCAAUGUUCUGGCUCGUUUCUGACGCUCAGGUGCGAAAGCCAGGGGAGCGAACGGG